CGUAGGGUGCGAGCGUUAAUCGGAAUUACUGGGCGUAAAGCGUGCGCAGGCGGUUUUGUAAGACAGAUGUGAAAUCCCCGGGCUCAACCUGGGACCUGCAUUUGUGACUGCAAGGCUAGAGUACGGUAGAGGGGGAUGGAAUUCCGCGUGUAGCAGUGAAAUGCGUAGAUAUGCGGUGGAACACCGAUGGCGAAGGCAAUCCCCUGGACCUGUACUGACGCUCAUGCACGAAAGCGUGGGGAGCAAACAGGAUUAGAUACCCUGGUAGUCCACGCCCUAAACGAUGUCAACUGGUUGUUGGGUCUUUACUGACUCAGUAACGAAGCUAACGCGUGAAGUUGACCGCCUGGGGAGUACGGCCGCAAGGUUG
rnacentral:rRNA from 1 species